GACGAACGCUGGCGGCGUGCUUAACACAUGCAAGUCGAACGGAAAGGCCCUGCUUUUGUGGGGUGCUCGAGUGGCGAACGGGUGAGUAACACGUGAGUAACCUGCCCUUGACUUUGGGAUAACUUCAGGAAACUGGGGCUAAUACCGGAUAGGAGCUCCUGCUGCAUGGUGGGGGUUGGAAAGUUUCGGCGGUUGGGGAUGGACUCGCGGCUUAUCAGCUUGUUGGUGGGGUAGUGGCUUACCAAGGCUUUGACGGGUAGCCGGCCUGAGAGGGUGAACGGCCACAUUGGGACUGAGGUACGGACCAGACUCCUACGGGAGGCAGCAGUGGGGAGUAUUGCACAAUGGGCGGAAGCCUGAUGCAGCAACGCCGCGUGCGGGAUGACGGCCUUCGGGUUGUAAACCGCUUUCGCCUGUGACGAAGCGUGAGUGACGGUAAUGGGUAAAGAAGCACCGGCUAACUACGUG
rnacentral:rRNA from 1 species